rnacentral:rRNA from 1 species
AGAUUGAACGCUGGCGGCAUGCCUUACACAUGCAAGUCGAACGGCAGCACGGGAGCAAUCCUGGUGGCGAGUGGCGAACGGGUGAGUAAUACAUCGGAACGUGCCCAAUCGUGGGGGAUAACGCAGCGAAAGCUGUGCUAAUACCGCAUAAGAUCUACGGAUGAAAGCAGGGGAUCGCAAGACCUUGCGCGGAUGGAGCGGCCGAUGGCAGAUUAGGUAGUUGGUGAAGGUAAAGGACUACACCAAGCCUUCGAUCUAGUAGCUGGUCUGAGAGGACACAGCCACACGUGGACUGAGACGACGGUCCAGACCUCCGUUACGGGAAGGCACGG